CGGCAGCUACCAUGCAGUCGAGCGGCAGCGGAAGUAGCUUGCUACUUUGCCGGCGAGCGGCGGACGGGUGAGUAAUGUCUGGGAAACUGCCUGAUGGAGGGGGAUAACUACUGGAAACGGUAGCUAAUACCGCAUAACGUCGCAAGACCAAAGAGGGGGACCUUCGGGCCUCUUGCCAUCAGAUGUACCCAGAUGGGAUUAGCUAGUAGGUGGGGUAACGGCUCACCUAGGCGACGAUCCCUAGCUGGUCUGAGAGGAUGACCAGCCACACUGGAACUGAGACACGGUCCAGACUCCUACGGGAGGCAGCAGUGGGGAAUAUUGCACAAUGGGCGCAAGCCUGAUGCAGCCAUGCCGCGUGUAUGAAGAAGGCCUUCGGGUUGUAAAGUACUUUCAGCGGCGGGGAGGAAGGCGUUGAGGUUAAUAACCUCAGCGAUUGACGUUACCCGCAGAAGAAGCACCGGCUAACUCCGUGCCAGCAGCCGCGGUAAUACGGAGGGUGCAAGCGUUAAUCGGAAUUACUGGGCGUAAAGCGCACGCAGGCGGUCUGUCAAGUCGGAUGUGAAAUCCCCGGGCUCAACCUGGGAACUGCAUUCGAAACUGGCAGCUAGAGUCUUGUAGAGGGGGGUAGAAUUCCAGGUGUAGCGGUGAAAUGCGUAGAGAUCUGGAGGAAUACCGGGUGGCGAAGCGGCCCCCGGACCAAAGACUGACGCUCAGUGCGAAAGCGUGGGGAAGCAAACAGGAUUAGAUACCCUGGUUAGUCCACGCCGUAAACGAUUGUUCGACUUGGAAGGUUGUGGCCCUUUGAGGCGUGGCUUUCCG
rnacentral:rRNA from 1 species